UGGGGAAUAUUGCACAAUGGGCGCAAGCCUGAUGCAGCAACGCCGCGUGAGGGAUGACGGCCUUCGGGUUGUAAACCUCUUUUGGCAGGGAUGAAGUGGCUCUUUUUUGGGUUGUGACGGUACCUGCAGAAAAAGCACCGGCUAACUACGUGCCAGCAGCCGCGGUAAUACGUAGGGUGCAAGCGUUGUCCGGAAUUAUUGGGCGUAAAGAGCUCGUAGGCGGUUUGUCGCGUCUGCUGUGAAAACCCGAGGCUCAACCUCGGGCUUGCAGUGGGUACGGGCAGACUGGAGUGCGGUAGGGGAGAAUGGAAUUCCUGGUGUAGCGGUGGAAUGCGCAGAUAUCAGGAGGAACACCGAUGGCGAAGGCAGUUCUCUGGGCCGUAACUGACGCUGAGGAGCGAAAGCAUGGGGAGCGAAC
rnacentral:rRNA from 1 species